rnacentral:lncRNA from 1 species
UGCACCCACACCCCCUCAAAAACCCAGUCUCAAAGAAACUUUGCAAUCUUUCAUGCAAGGUCAAGCAAAAAUCAAUGAUGAAAUAAGAAAUCAACUGACAACGCUGACCACUGCUUUAAAUGCUCAAGAGAAGGGUAAGCUACCAGCUCAACCACAACCUAACCUUCAAGUCUACGGCGGUAGCAAUGCAUCAUCUUCAACUUCGCAUAAAGAACAAGCGAAGAGUAUAAUAACUUUGCGAAGUGGA